rnacentral:lncRNA from 1 species
UUGCUGCGCCCAUAGCGUAUGAAUUUCCCAGGCAGAGAGGUCUAAGCAACUGAAAUGCAGAGAGAGAGAAUGAACAGAGCUGUGGAGGGGGCAGGAGCGCGGAACACCGAGACUGAGCGUGGAACGCAGCGCCUCGGAGAUGGUGGUGCUGCUGCUGCCCGUCUACAUGCGCUCUCAGCCAUGGCGCCAAAAGCAGAAGCACAAAGAAAAAGGGCAACAGGAACUUCAAAAUGUUAACCUUUGGCUUCAAAAGACACUGUCGAGACAGUCAAAAGACAACCCAGGGAGUUCCCGUCAUGGCGCGGCGGAAGUGAAUCCGACUAGGAACCAUGAGGUUGCAGGUUCCAUCCCCGGCCUUGCUCAGUGAGUGAAGGAUCCAGCGUUGCCAUGAGCUGUGAUAUAGGUUGCAAACUCGGCUCGGAUCUGGUGUUGCUAUGGCUAUGGUGUAGGCCAGCAGCUAUAGCUCCGAUUAGACCCCUAGCCUGGGAUCUAAGAGGGUGCAGCCCUGAAAAGCAAAAAAAAAAAAGACAACCCAGGAAACAGGAAAAAACUGUCUGAUAAGGGACUGGUAUCCAGGAUAUGCAAAGAACUCUGAAAAUGUUCUAGUUAGGGAGUUCCCGUCAUGGCUCAGCAGUAACGAAUGCGCCGAGGAUCCCUGGGCUCCAUCCCUGGCCUCACUCAGUGGGUUAAGGAUCCAGCAUGGCUGUAAGCUAUGGUGUAGGUCACAGAGGCAGCUCAGAUCCUGCGUGGCUGUGGCUGUGGUGUAGGCUGGCAACUGGAGCUCCAAUGCGACCCCUAGCCCAGGAACUUCCAUAUGCCGCAAGUGCGGCCCUAAAAACCAAAAACCAAAACAAAACAAAAGUUUGAGUUAGACAGUAGUGAUGGUGGGGUCUCCUCGUGGUGCAGCAGGUUAAGCAUCUGGCGAUGUCACUGCAGCAGCUCAGGUCGCUGCUGUGGCACAGGCUUAAUCCCUGCCCCUGGAACUUCUACAUGCCGCUGGUGUGGCCAAAAAAAAAAAAGGUGAUAGUUGCUUUUAUGUCAUAUAAAUUCUCACUAUGUAUGUUAGGAAAAAAGGAAAGAUCUCAAGAUGUGUAUAUAUGGACAAAUGAGAACCCUCUACCCUGCUGUCAGAAACAUGAAAUGAUGCGAUCACUUCGGAAAAUAGGUUGUGGCAGCUUCUGAGAAAGCUAACAGCACCCAGACCCUGUGACGCAGCAAUCUUGCAUGGAGGCGUUUACCCAAGAGAAGGGAAGAGGUAUAUACACAAAAUGCUGCAUGUCAUUGUUUAUCGCAGCUUAAUUCACAGUCACCCAGAGCUGGAAACAACCCACAUUUCCAUCAAGAGAUGAAUGGCUACACAUGUGGUGCACACACACCACAGGUUACCACUCAGCAAUACAAAGGAGCAAACUCCUGAUACGCAGCACGAAUGGAGCUCAAAUAUUUAUGCCAAGGGGGAGACGCCGGACCAAAGAAAAGAAGAGUUAACACUGUGUGAUCCCAUUUAUAGAAUAAUCUAGGGAGUAUAAACUGGCCAGCACAGAAGACAAACCAGCCGCUGCUUGGGGAUAGAGAGAAAGGCAGGGACAGAAACAGGGAGGCCUGGAGGGAACGAGGAAGCUCUGGGGGAUGAGGCACAUGUCUACACUUCGAUGGUGUGGUGGCAUCUCAUUAAACCAUCACACACUUUGGACACAUGAGGACUUCUAGUGCGUUGGCGACACUCAGUGCUGCUGAACUUAUCUUUAAGAAGCGCACCUGGGAGUUCCCGUCAUGGCUCAGUGGUUAGCGAAUCCGACUGGGAACCAUGAGGUUGCAGGUUCGAUCCCUGGCCUUGCUCAGUGGGUGAAGGAUCUGGUGUUGCCGUGAGCUGUGGUGUAGGUUGCAGACGCGGCUCGGAUCUGGCGCUGCUGUGGCUGUGGCGUAGGCUGGCGGCUACAGCUCCGAUGGGACCCCUAGCCUGGGAACCUCUACAGGUGCGGCCCUAGAAAUGGCAAAAAGACAAAAAAAAAAGAAGAAGAAGCACACCUGCAAGGCCUCCUGGUCGGGCGGGGCCUGGCCUGGCCUGCGGUACCUGCUCAGCAUUUCCUGCAGCACCUUCACGUGGCUCCGUACUUCCUCCACGGCACUCACCCUCUUGGACACCUUUUCUGAUUUCUCCUGUUCCUUUUGGGAGACAGAGGAUGGAGGUGAGGGAGCAGACACCCUGGAUAGAGCCUCCACGAGAGCCGGGAAGGGGGCACUGCACGGUAGAGGGCUCAGGGAGGCCCCCCCAAACUCCGAGUGGACACUGUGCUCCCUUGGUGGGGGAAGACAAUGCUCAAAGCCUGGAAUUCCUGGGACAGACAAGCCCGUCUGGGGAUCUGGGAUCCACUCCUCUGUUCCACCAGGUACAAAAAGAUUCCCAAACCGGGACGCUGUCUACACCAUACUGGCCACUGGGACAGAAACUGGUGUCAGUGGAAUGCCUUGAGCUCCUGGACAGAGGACAUGGGACGCGCACAGCAGCACGGCCACCACCUUGCCGCCCUUCGGGGAGUCCAAGGCUGGGCCCGAUUCAGGGCUAGGGGGCCGUCCCUUCUCCCAGCCGACGGUGCACCCACACCCUUGAGCACAUCCCCAGAUGCCGUCCAGUGCUGUCAAAUGCUGUGCCCUGCUGUCCUCUGUCAAAU